rnacentral:lncRNA from 1 species
CCCGGACGCCCUGGAGGGGUCUCCGCCCGGAGCCUGGCGCUGCCUCGUGACCUGCAUCAUCUUCAGUUCCAGGGUCUCCCUCCACUGCUGUAGUAACCCGGGUCCGGGGCCUCGGUGGUGCUCCUGAUGCCCCUCACCCACCCCUGAAGAUCCCAGGUGGGCGAGGGAAUAGUCAGAGGGAUCACAAUCUUUCAGCUAACUUAUUCUACUCCGUGAGUAUGGGGCCGGGCCUGCUGGGGCUGCUCUGGGGCCACAGGUACUUUCUUGUGCACCUUGCUGCCCGUACCUGUGAUUGAAUGUAAUCGUGGGAACCCUGAGUUUCAUCAGAGCCGGCGCACAGUCUCCUGCAGCCCAGGCGUUGCCUGAGCUCAACACGGCCUAGGCCCAAGCUUUAGCGCUGCCGGGUUCUUGGAGUCCUGUGGGGUGAGUCAGGGUUCUGAAUUGGGCUGCACCCCCUGGACAGGAUGAUCGGCUGAAUGUAACAGAGGAACUAACGUCCAACGACAAGACGAGGAUUCUCAACGUCCAGUCCAGGCUCACAGACGCCAAACGCAUUAACUGGCGAACAGUGCUGAGUGGCGGCAGCCUCUACAUCGAGAUCCCGGGCGGCGCGCUGCCCGAGGGGAGCAAGGACAGCUUUGCAGUUCUCCUGGAGUUCGCUGAGGAGCAGCUGCGAGCC